UGGGGAAUAUUGCACAAUGGAGGGAACUCUGAUGCAGCGACGCCGCGUGAGUGAUGAAGGACUUCGUUUCGUAAAACUCUGUUCUAUGGGAAGAAAAGGACUGUACCAUAGGAGAAAGCUCCGGCUAAAUACGUGCCAGCAGCCGCGGUAAUACGUAUGGAGCGAGCGUUGUCCGGAAUUAUUGGGCGUAAAGGGUGCGCAGGCGGCUUUACAAGUUGGAUGUGAAAUAUUGUGGCUCAACCACAAACGUGCAUCCAAAACUGCAAAGCUUGAGUUAAGGAGAGGUAAGUGGAAUUCCUGGUGUAGCGGUGGAAUGAGUAGAUAUCAGGAGGAAUACCGGUGGCGAAGGCGACUUACUGGACUUAAACUGACGCUCAGGCACUAAAGCGUGGGGAGCAAACAGG
rnacentral:rRNA from 1 species